UACAGAGGUGGCAAGCGUUGUUCGGAAUUACUGGGCGUAAAGGGCGCGUAGGCGGUCUUUUAAGUCUUGUGUGAAAUCCCUCGGCUCAACUGAGGAACUGCACGGGAUACUGGAAGACUUGAGUUCGGGAGAGGGAAGCGGAAUUCCGGGUGUAGCGGUGAAAUGCGUAGAUAUCUGGAGGAACACCGGUGGCGAAGGCGGCAUCCUGGACCAACACUGACACUGAGGAGCGAAAGCCAGGGGAGCAAACGGG
rnacentral:rRNA from 1 species